CAUCUUCAUCCAAGCCCCAUGCUUGUUU
rnacentral:misc_RNA from 1 species